CACAUUUCUAAACAAUAUGGUAGAGAAGACAAUAGAAUUUCCACCUCCUGCUCUUUUUGAGAUCUAACUUACACAACUACUUCGUUUGUGGCUCAGAGGCCCCAAGUCACUGCAGGUUCAGAGGGGCAGGCUGGAACAAGCACAGAUAUCAGCUGUCAUGCCAUCACUUGUUUAAAUGCAAAAUCCUGAUUUGUGCACAUAACGACAGGAAUUAGUUUGACAGGAUUUGCAGAAGUAGCUAGGUGUGUCAUAUAAACUGAGCUCUGUUAAGUGAGUUUGGCCUUGCAACAUGUGAAGGUUUCUGGGGAGGGGGGUCAGGGUUGGUUGGACACUCCCACCUUUUCACUGCUACCUAGUCCAGAGCAGGUUGUUCCACCUGCUAGCUAGCACCAUAAUAACCUUCAGGGAUCGGUAACCACAAGAAAACAUUGAAGACUAUUCUUUUUGAGACAUGAUGGAAUUAGAAGAGCCAAAUGAUUACCCUGUUACAAAAAAAGAACAACCAGACUUGAUGUUCAGACAAGCAAAAGCAUGCAUCUAUAGUGGCUACCCUUCUUCUGAAAUCUGCAAGGAUGCCUUGGAAGACAAACCACUACUAUUAUUAUUCCAAAUGGAUUCUGCCAGUACAAAUGCACAGCAUAUGCAAAUAUAAGAUGAAUUGUUUGGACAUCCACAGAAAUCAAAUGUACUUUGCAUAAACAUUCAUAUCAACUACCUGAUUUUAACAAUAUCACCCUUCCAGUAAAUGGUUGAAACAGGAUCACAAAAUCAGUAAUUACAGUCAAACAGUAUUUUGAAUUCUCCAUGUCAACAGAUAGCUAGAAAUGUGUGGAAUUUUUUUCACAGACAUGAACAAAGAAGAAAACACACAGCUCUAUAAAACAUUUCAAAUUAUUUGCUUUGUUCUAUAAACUUAUAUAUAUGACUGCUUAUAUAUGCACUCAAAUAUACUUACAAUUGCA
rnacentral:lncRNA from 1 species